ACUCAGUGGCCUUGAUGAAU
rnacentral:piRNA from 1 species